rnacentral:rRNA from 1 species
GGAAAGGAUUGGAUGAGAUAUAAACUGUCUUAAAAAUAUUUAAUUGAAUUUAAUUUUUUAAUUAAAAAGUUAAGAUAAAUUAAAAAGACGAGAAGACCCUAUAGAGUUUUAUAUUAAUUUAAAUUAAAAUUAUUUAUAAAUUUAUUAGUAUAAAUUUAAUUUUGUAUUUUAUUGGGGUGAUAAAAAAAUAAAUUAAACUUUUUUUAAAAAUUUACAUAAAUAAGUGAAUUAUUGAUCCAAUUUUAUUGAUUAUAAGAAAAAAUUACCUUAGGGAUAACAGCGUAAUUUUUUUUUUUAUUUCUAAUAAAAAAAAGAGUUUGCGACCUCGAUGUUGGAUCAGGAAAA